AUGGCAUCGGAGGACGUGGUGGGGAAGAGCAGGGGCGACACGGCCGUCAACACCAUCGUCAACCUGGCCGAGGAGGCCAAGCUCGCGCGCGAGGGCGUCAAGGGGCCCGGCCACCAGGUCCUCACCGUCUGCAAGUCCCUCUUCGCCGGCGGCGUCGCCGGGGGCCUAUCGAGGACUGCUGUUGCUCCGCUUGAGCGAUUGAAGAUCCUGCUUCAGGUUCAAAAUCCUCACAGUAUCAAGUACAAUGGUACCGUUCAAGGGCUUAAGUAUAUAUGGAGAACAGAAGGCCUUCGUGGACUGUUUAAGGGCAAUGGAACUAACUGUGCAAGGAUUGUCCCAAAUUCUGCUGUGAAAUUCUUCAGCUAUGAGCAAGCAUCAAGGGGUAUUUUGUAUCUGUACCGGCAACAGACUGGGGAUGAGAAUGCUCAGCUUAGUCCAAUCUUGCGCCUUGGAGCUGGAGCCACAGCUGGUAUCAUAGCCAUGUCUGCUACUUAUCCCAUGGAUAUGGUCAGGGGUAGGAUUACUGUUCAGACAGAGAAAUCUCCCUACCAGUACCGUGGUAUGUUUCAUGCAUUGGGCACAGUGUACCGUGAAGAAGGCUUCCGUGCUUUAUACAGAGGCUGGCUUCCAUCAGUGAUUGGAGUUGUCCCUUAUGUUGGCCUUAACUUUGCUGUGUACGAGUCUCUGAAGGACUGGCUCCUCCAGUCAAAUGCAUUUGAUCUUGCAAAGGACAAUGAGCUGCACGUAGUAACAAGGCUUGGAUGCGGAGCUGUGGCUGGAACCAUCGGCCAGACUGUGGCAUACCCUCUUGAUGUUGUCAGGAGAAGGAUGCAGAUGGUUGGCUGGAGUCACGCUGCUUCUAUUGUUACUGGAGAGGGCAAAGAGGCACUCCAGUACAAUGGUAUGAUUGAUGCAUUCAGGAAAACUGUUCGCCACGAAGGGUUUGGUGCUCUGUACAAGGGUCUUGUGCCCAACUCGGUGAAGGUGGUGCCUUCCAUCGCCAUUGCGUUUGUCACGUACGAGGCCGUGAAGGAUGUUCUAGGAGUAGAGAUGAGGAUAGACUGA
rnacentral:rRNA from 1 species